rnacentral:ncRNA from 3 species
UACGGAGGGUGCAAACGUUGCUCGGAAUCAUUGGGCGUAAAGCGUGUGUAGGCGGCCUGUUAAGUCGGGUGUGAAAGCCCCGGGCUCAACCCGGGAAGUGCAUUCGAUACUGGCAGGCUUGAGUACGGGAGAGGGUCGCGGAAUUCCCGGUGUAGAGGUGAAAUUCGUAGAUAUCGGGAGGAACACCAGUGGCGAAGGCGGCGACCUGGACCGAUACUGACGCUGAGACACGAAAGCGUGGGGAGCAAACAGG